rnacentral:rRNA from 1 species
UACGGAGGGAGCUAGCGUUGUUCGGAAUUACUGGGCGUAAAGCGCGCGUAGGCGGCUUUGUAAGUUAGAGGUGAAAGCCCGGGGCUCAACCCCGGAACUGCCUUUAAGACUGCAUCGCUUGAAUCCGGGAGAGGUGAGUGGAAUUCCGAGUGUAGAGGCGAAAUUCGUAGAUAUUCGGAAGAACACCAGUGGCGAAGGCGGCUCACUGGACCGGUAUUGACGCUGAUGUGCGAAAGCGUGGGGAGCAAACAGG